rnacentral:rRNA from 1 species
CUUGUAGGUGGCGUCAUAAGUUGGACGUGAAAACUCCGGGCUUAACUUGGAGAGGCCGUUCAAUACUGUGAGGCUGGAGGGUGUCAGAGGGAAGUAGAAUUCCUGGUGUAGCAGUGAAAUGCGUAGAUAUCAGGAGGAAUACCCGUGGCGAAGGCGGCUUCCUGGGACAUCACUGACACUGAGAAGCGAAAGCUAGGGGAGCAAACGGGAUUAGAAACCCCGGUAGUCCUAGCUGUAAACGAUGGAUGCUAGGUGUAAGCAGAUCUAACCCUGCUUGUGCCGAAGCUAACGCGUUAAGCAUCCCGCCUGGGAACUACGAGCGCAAGCUUAAA